rnacentral:rRNA from 1 species
AUUGAACGCUGGCGGCAUGCCUUACACAUGCAAGUCGAACGGCAGCACGGGUGCCUGCACCUGGUGGCGAGUGGCGAACGGGUGAGUAAUAUAUCGGAACGUACCUUAUUGUGGGGGAUAACGCAGCGAAAGCUGUGCUAAUACCGCAUAAUCCCUAAGGGGGAAAGCGGGGGACCGUAAGGCCUCGCGCAAUUAGAGCGGCCGAUACCUGAUUAGCUAGUUGGUGAGGUAAAGGCUCACCAAGGCAACGAUCAGUAGCUGGUCUGGGAGGACGAUGAGCCACACUGGGACUGAGACACGGCCCAGACUCCUACGGGAGGCAGCAGUGGGGAAUUUUGGACAAUGGGGGCAACCCUGAUCCAGCAAUGCCGCGUGAGUGAAGAAGGCCUUCGGGUUGUAAAGCUCUUUUGUCAGGGAAGAAACAGCAGCUCUAACGCAGUUUGCGAAUGACGGUACCUGAAGAAUAAGCACCGGCUAACUACGUGCCAGCCGCCGCCGUAA